ACACCCGCCCCUGUGGCUCGGCCCUCCAGGGGCGAUCGGAAGGCGGGGCCGGUGGGCAGCGGGGGUGGGGGUGGGGUGGCCUGGGGAGCCCUUGACGAUGGCUUCCGCCUGCCAGCGAGGUCCCCGAGUCCAGGACGCCACGGUGACCAGGGUCCCCGCCUCCUCGGCCGCAGGCGGCGCGCGCCGCUCCCGAGGCCCGCGGACCCCGGAGCGGCCGGGGCAACCCCUCCCCGGGUCCCCAACGACACCCAGGAGGAAGGUGGACGAGGCGGGCCGGCGCCGUAGGCGCCGCAGCCCUGCCCAGCUGGCCAGCCCGCCCGCCAGCCAGUCAUGGCCCCGGCCCCGGCCCCGGCCCAGCCCGCGGCUCUGAGCUGGAAACCUGAAAAUAAAACUCGUGUCGGGGAGGGAGGCGAGGGCGCGGGCGGCGAGGUGCUGCGUCAUGGUGCCAACAUGGACGCCGGCCUUUGUCCUGCCUCGCCCGGGAAGCACGCGCGCCCCCGAGCCCCGACCAGCCGGCUUCGGGGUGCAAGGUCCCCCACAGCCAGAAGGAGAGGGCGCCCCAAGCCAGAGUUGGGUUGGCAAAAAGGCGGCUUCGCUGAGGACUGUUUACUGCUCUGGAUAUAGCAAUGGUGUGACCGUCAUUAAGAGACAAAAGGCGAAAACACACAGUCAAAUCAAACAAAAGGCAAAAGGCGCACCAGCCAUCCCAACCACCAUAGAAAAUACGACCGAGUUAUCGUUGGUGUUUGGCUUGAACCAGCUAGGACUUGUUUUCCAGCUUUAAUCUAGUUUCCUGUGACGGUUUUCGUCUUUCUACACAAAGAGAAGGUCUUCCUUUUUCUAACCAUCCCCCCUCCACCACCACCAAGACGAGAAAAACAGAGCUGUUUUUCUUCAAAUAGAUCGAUUUUCAAAGAGUGUAAACGUUACUGGGAAGGCUGACUAGCAUUUAUUGCUAUAAACAUUUUCAAAAGCUUGAAGCUAAAACCUUAAGCUUUAUAUAAGCAAAAUCGUCUAAAAAGCAUUUUCACUGGCUCAUAUUAGACAAGAGACAAAGACAGACAUGCAGAUGAAGGUUCAGAAAAUUAAGGACAGCUCAGCCAACAUUAACAAGAAAACUGCACUGCAUAAGGACAGAAUGGAUUGGGUACUUACAAUGUAAAAGGUUUUUAGAAACUUAAGAGUAACGACUGCUCACACAUUUUUUUGUUGCUGCCAUUUCGCUAGUCCUAAAACUAUACAUUUAAAACAUUACCUUGUUAAAAAGAGAGGAGUUAUUAAGAUGGCCAGGUUUAAGUGUUUAAUAGAG
rnacentral:lncRNA from 1 species